rnacentral:rRNA from 1 species
CCUACGGGCGGCUGCAGUGGGGAAUAUUGCACAAUGGGGGAAACCCUGAUGCAGCGACGCCGCGUGAGGGCAGAAGUAUUUCGGUAUGUAAACUUCUAUCAGCAGGGAAGAAAAUGACGGUACCUGAAUAAGGAGCCCCGGCUAACUACGUGCCCGCCGCCGCGGUAAUACGGAGGGGGCAAGCGUUAUCCGGAUUUACUGGGUGUAAAGGGAGCGUAGGCGGGUUAGCAAAUCAGAAGUGAAAGCCCGGGGCUCAACUCCGGGACAGCUGUUGAAACUGUUGAACUAGAGUGCAGGAGAGGUAAGUGGAAUUCGUAGUGUAGCGGUGAAAUGCGUAGAUAUUAGGAGGAACACCAGUGGCGAAGGCGGCUUACUGGACUGUAAAUAACGCUGAGGCUCGAAAGCGUGGGGAGCAAACAGGAUUAGAUACCCGUGUAGUC